AUUGGUUGCCAAACUUGUCGAAUGUCACACUAAUCAAUGCGCUCUCUCGCUCUCUCUCUCUCUCACACACACUCCUCUCACUCGUGAAUGAAUUCCUAGAAGUCAUCAAUUCUUCACUAUUUUCCACCCCUUUCAAUUCUUCUCUGCGGUUACUUCAAUGCUGCAGCUUUGUUCCUCUCUAUUUUUCUUUGCUUAAUUCCUAACUAUUGACUCCUUCUCACCAUUAAUACCCUCGAGAUUUCAAUCUGUAACAUCAGGGAAUUACCCUCUGUACAAUAUAUUUAUGCACAGAAAUUAAAAGGGGUUUGUUGUAGAUGUCAGAGAUGAUUACCAUGAGCCUAAAAUCCAAUCUUUUUGCUACCCCAUAUAGUGGAAGAUAUGGGGUAAGCCAUUUUUGGUCUCAGCAGAAAUUGGUCAACUCCAAGUCACACACAAGUCAGAGGGUUGGUCGAGUUUAUUGCGAGUCUAAGACUGCAGAAAUGGAAAUCAGGAAGUGCUCGCCUUUUCUAGAAAGUGAAUUGUUGUCCGGUAAUGGUGGGUUGCCCUUGACAGAGUGGAGAACUGUUCCCGACAUUUGGCGGACUUCGUCAGAGAAAUUUGGUGAUCAUGUAGCAGUUGUGGACCCAUAUCAUGAUCCUCCUACAAGCAUGACUUAUAAACAGCUUUGUCAGGAGAUUGUGGAUUUCUCUGAAGGUUUGAGAGUUGUUGGGCUAAAGCCAAAUGAGAAGAUUGCACUCUUUGCUGAUAAUUCAUGUCGAUGGCUUGUUGCAGAUCAAGGUACAAUGACAAGUGGGGCUAUCAACGUUGUGAGGGGUUCAAGGUCAUCAGUUCAAGAGCUAUUGCAAUUAUAUAGCCACUCUGAAAGUGUCGCUCUUGCUAUUGACAAUCCUGAGAUGUACAACCGGAUUGCAGACACCUUUGGUUCCCAUGCAGCUGUACGAUUUGCUAUUUUACUUUGGGGAGAGAAAUCAAGCCUUGGAAGAGAAGCCGUGCAGGGAUAUCCUGUAUAUACUUAUAAGGAGAUUAUAGAAUUGGGUCACAAGAGUCGUGUGGAUCUAUUUGAUUCUGAAGAUGCCAGGAAACAAUAUUCAUAUGAGGCAAUCAACUCUGAUGAUGUGGCUACAAUUGUCUAUACCAGUGGAACCACCGGUAAUCCAAAAGGUGUCAUGCUUACGCAUAAAAAUCUGCUUCACCAGAUUUUGAAUUUGGGGGAGAUUGUACCUGCUGUACCUGGGGACAGAUUUCUAAGCAUGCUUCCGCCUUGGCAUGCAUAUGAGCGUGCUUGUGAAUAUUUCAUAUUCACACACGGAACAGAGCAAGUGUACACAACUGUGAAAAAUUUGAAGGAAGAUUUGCGGCGUUAUCAGCCACAUUACUUGAUAAGUGUUCCUUUAGUGUAUGAGACAUUAUACAGUGGAAUUCUAAAGCAGAUCAAUUCAAACUCUGCUGCUCGUAAACUCAUUGCCCUAUUAUUUUUAAGGAUCAGUAUGGCUUACAUGGAGGCAAAAAGGAUUUACGAGGGGAAAUGUUUAAUGAAGGACACCAAGCAACCUUCAUAUAUUGUAUCAUUGCUCGACUGGUUGUGGGCUAGAACUAUUGCUGCUAUAUUAUGGCCGCUGCAUAUGCUGGCGAAGAAAAUUGUUUACAGUAAAAUACACGCAAGCAUUGGUAUUUCAAAGGCUGGCGUAAGUGGAGGUGGUAGUCUUUCUUCACAUGUUGACAAGUUCUUUGAGGCAAUUGACAUAAAGAUUCAGAAUGGAUAUGGUCUGACUGAGUCAUCUCCUGUGGUUGCUGCCCGUCAUCCUGCGUGUAAUGUACUCGGCUCAGUUGGGCCUCCCAUUCGGCAUGUAGAAGUAAAAGUUGUAAAUGCAGAAACAGAUGAGGUCCUUCCUCCAGGCUCAAGAGGCAUUGUAAAAGCCAGAGGGCCACUAGUAAUGAAGGGCUACUAUAAGAAUCCGUCGGCAACAAAACAAGCUAUUGAUGAGAAUGGAUGGCUGAACACUGGUGAUCUUGGUUGGAUUGCGCCUGAUCAUUCUGNGAAUAAAGAUUUUGACCUAUUGGCCUUAUUAUAAUUGCAAUUCAGAGCUUUGAACUUUAUUUUUAUGUAUUUGCCUCCUGGGGAAAAACUAGGUGAGAAUGUUGAACCAUCAGAGAUUGAAGAAGCUGCAAUGGGAAGUCGUCUGAUUCAGCAGAUUGUUGUCAUUGGCCAGGAUCAACGACGCCUUGGAGCUAUAAUUGUACCAAAUAAGGAGGAGGUUCUGUUAGCAGCUAAAAGAUCAGCUAUUGUGGAUUCUGAAACCACUGAACUUAGCAAGGAAAAAGCAGUUGGCCUAUUAUACGAGGAGUUAAGAAAAUGGACUUCAGGUUGCUCAUUUCAAGUUGGACCUAUCCUUAUUGUCGAUGAACCUUUCACGAUUGAUAGUGGCUUACUAACACCAACCAUGAAAAUCAAGAGAGACAGAGUUGCAGCUCUUUACAAAGAGCAAAUUGAGAACUUGUACAAAUGAUUCCUGUCUCUGGAAUCCCCACUUUUUUUUUCUAUGAAAGCUGCAAGAUCUGAAUUGCUACCGGCGAACGGGUUUUCAGAACUUUUCCAUAAAAAAAUGUGUUUGUAAUGAUAAUGUAGUGAUUGAAAUUGAAUAGAUCUAAUAGAACUGUAUAUUUAUGAGGAUGUAAAAGUUGUAAUUGAAGGCAAAUUUAACUACUUUUGUACCACAAACUUGUUCAAUAAGCAUGUAAUAUUGUCUCCUGAAAAAUAAAUUACAUUCAAUUUUGGGAGA